CUAAUUUAGACAUCAUCACAUGUUGCAAAUAAUUGAGACCUGAAAUUGGAAUCGCAAUUUGAUGUCUAAAAUCAUGCUAAUAGUCUCUUUAAGAUGCAGUAAAUUGCAGCAUGUGGAGUAAUAUUGAAGGAAUAUAUAUAGCAUAGCUGCAUAAGGUGCAAAAUCAAUGUGAUUUACAGCCAAAUAACCUUUAAUUACACACACGCACUGAUGGAUCAGGGGUGACUGAAGCCCCUCCCAAUUCUUCAGUUUUUUACACAUUGUUUGAUUUUAAUAAUUAUAGUAAAUUGCAGCUCGUGAAUGGGCAACUACUCUUCUCAGCCUUUGACAGAAGCAUGGCCUUUUCUUUUUCCUUUUUGGAGAGGAGAUACAUAUAUACGGAAAAAAAUGGGGGUACAGUCAGUGAUAAGCAUGGGGCAAAGGUCGAUCCAUUUUAGGUUUGGUGUAUGGGUUGAAGAUGCUUUUAAAACCACUCUUACUCCUCUGGUUUUCAAUCAUCACUCACUCCCUCUCUCUCUCUACGUCGCUGCCCUUCCCCUUGUUGAGAUGUCGGACGUCCAUCCUUAUUUCGAAGAGCAUGGUAAGAAACGGUGCAUAAAGUGUAAGAAAGAAUACGAAACGAGCACGGCCACGGAUAAUUUGAGAAGGCAUUUAACUAAGCAUCAUCCGGGAUGGGAAUCGGAGGUAUGGAAAUCCGAUACCUCAACCUCAACCUCAGAAAUAACAGCUGCAUUCGCGCGACUUGAGCAAACUAUUGAGAAAACACAACAAAUGAUUGAUAAAUAUAAAUAAACAGUGUCUGUACUGAGAUAGUACUAUGUUUUUAGCUUAUGUUAUGUCGGAUCUGUUGAAGUUGGCAUGUAUUAGUUAUGUGAUAUUGUGAUUGAUGUUUUUAGCUUAUGUUAUGUUGGAUCUGUUGAAGUUGGCAUUUAUUAGUUAUGUGAUAUUGUGAUUGAUUGUUAGGUAGUUGGGUGUUUUUAGAAUCUUGAAUUCUCUCUUAAUUCAAUGUCGUCUAUUUUGAUUUGAGAUCAUAUGGAUUGGAAAGGAAAGAUUUGGAUUAAUUUACAUUUAUAUUUCGAUUA